AAAAAUGAAUAAAAUCUUUAAAGAGGUGCAGAAGGGGGGCAUGGAUCAGUGGGCGGUGGUAUGUGAGGGAACAUCGGCCUGCGUCCGGUACGACUCUUCCUUCAUCAAUAGGCAAAGGAGCUGGGCGUAUAGUGACAUUGUCCAACCUCUACAGUAUGCCCAUUCCUGCUAUGGUCAACAACAUAUGCUGCUCAAUAUACUAGUUUAAUGCACAUGCAAUCUCAUUCUCGUGUGGUCACCCUUUAAUUUCAUUGGCUUUUGUUUAAUUGUUUCCUAAAAUGCUAAUUCACCUUACAUUGUUUCAUUAUAAUGGUUAACAUAUCAAGGCCAACGGCAAAAACUUGUGGAAACCCACACCUAACUUCCAAGUUAUUUGUUAUGGCCGGAAAGCUUC
rnacentral:lncRNA from 1 species